rnacentral:tRNA from 1 species
GCACUGUUAGCUCAGUUGGACAGAGCGUUGCCCUCCGGAGGCAAAGGUCGCUGGUUCAAUUCCAGCACAGUGCACCA